rnacentral:rRNA from 1 species
AUUGAACGCUGGCGGUAGGCCUAACACAUGCAAGUCGAACGGCAGCACAGGAGAGCUUGCUCUCUGGGUGGCGAGUGGCGGACGGGUGAGGAAUACAUCGGAAUCUGCCCAGUCGUGGGGGAUAACGUAGGGAAACUUACGCUAAUACCGCAUACGACCUUCGGGUGAAAGAGGGGGAUCGCAAGACCUCUCGCGAUUGGAUGAGCCGAUGUCGGAUUAGCUAGUUGGCGGGGUAAUGGCCCACCAAGGCGACGAUCCGUAGCUGGUCUGAGAGGAUGAUCAGCCACACUGGAACUGAGACACGGUCCAGACUCCUACGGGAGGCAGCAGUGGGGAAUAUUGGACAAUGGGCGCAAGCCUGAUCCAGCCAUACCGCGUGGGUGAACAAGGCCUUCGGGUUGUAAAGCCCUUUUGUUGGGAAAGAAAUCUUUCAGGCUAAUACCCUGGGAGGAUGACGGUACCCAAAGAAUAAGCACCGGCUAACUUCGUG